GCCGGGCGUGGUGGCUCACGCCUGUAAUCCCAGCACUUUGGGAGGCUGAGGUGGGUGGAUCACCUGAGGUCAGGAGUUCGAGACCAGCCUGGCCAACAUGGUGAAACCCCAUCUCUA
ensembl:misc_RNA Metazoa_SRP Metazoan signal recognition particle RNA